rnacentral:rRNA from 1 species
AUUGAACGCUGGCGGCAGGCUUAACACAUGCAAGUCGAGCGGGGUGAUGGUGCUUGCACUAUCACUUAGCGGCGGACGGGUGAGUAAUGCUUAGGAAUCUGCCUAUUAGUGGGGGACAACAUCUCGAAAGGGAUGCUAAUACCGCAUACGUCCUACGGGAGAAAGCAGGGGAUCACUUGUGACCUUGCGCUAAUAGAUGAGCCUAAGUCGGAUUAGCUAGUUGGGGGGGUAAAGGCCUACCAAGGCGACGAUCUGUAGCGGGUCUGAGAGGAUGGACCGGCACACCGGGGCCGGAACACGGCCCAGACUCCCACGGGAAGGAGCAGUGGGGAAUAUUGGACAAUGGGGGGAACCCUGAUCCAGCCAUGCCGCGUGUGUGAAGAAGGCCUUAUGGUUGUAAAGCACUUUAAGCGAGGAGGAGGCUCUUUUGGUUAAUACCCAAGAUGAGUGGACGUUACUCGCAGAAUAAGCACCGGCUAACUCUGUGCCAGCCGCCGCCGUAA